GGGUCCGAUCAUACCAGCGUUAAUGCACCGGAUCCCAUCAGAAAUCUGCAGUUAAGCACGCUUGGGCUAGAGUAGUACUGGGAUGGGUGACCUCCCGGGAAGUCCUACUGUUGCACCCU
rfam:Picea glauca, whole genome shotgun sequence.